rnacentral:rRNA from 1 species
AUGCCUUCUGGUCAGGAGAAUAUCAAACUGAAUAAAGAGAAUUAUCCACAGCUUGUCCUCGUUAUAAAAGAUAAAGAUGAUAAUCAAAGAGAGUGUCUAAAGAUAAUGAAGAACUUAACUCACGAGAAUGUACUUGGAGUGUAUUUCUGGGAAGAGGUUGAAAAUGAACCGUAUAUCCUAGUUCAUGUGGAGCCUUACACAGAAUCGGUUUCGAAGAUCGUUGCCAAUGCUAAAUUUCUUGUUGAGCGAAUGACAGAAUUGGUUCCAUCUCCAGCCUUUCAAGAAACAGUCGUUCUUUGGAGCAAUGCCAGUUGGAAGAUUAUAUCUCUCUGGGAGCCUCUCUUGAGUGGGCAUCUCAAAAGGAAAUCUCUGCAGACAAUGAAACUUCAGCUCAAAGAUCAUGAGUUCUUUUGGGACAGCAAUAUGAAGAAGAUUUUCUUUGCCUAUGAUGUCCCCCAAAUCUUCAAGAAUGAUGCAGUUAAGCAAAAAUUUCAGGAAUCUUCAUCUAUGCCGUCAUUACCAUGGACGACAUCAUGGAAACCUGGUGUGAUACCUGAUGAGCUUAUGAAACAUAUGUUGAUUUACCGCGGAGAGCAUGGACUUGCACCAUACGAUGCAUACAAUGUGGAAGAGUUUCUAAGAUUCAUUAGUGGGAUGUAUUCUCAUGAGAAUGAACUCAGGCAGAAGAUUCCUGGCCUCGUUCUUGAUGCUGUAGUUCAGGAGAUGUAUCCGUGUUUGUGGUAUGAUUUAAAAAAAGCCAUGCGAGAUGCCAAGGAAGAAGCUGAUAAUGCCAUGGCAGUGGACAAUUAA